GCCAUGGUGGUCUAGCGGUUAGAACGCUGGUCUUGUAAUCCUGGGGUCUCGGGUUCGAUUCCCGGCGGUGCCC
rfam:Zootermopsis nevadensis contig9574, whole genome shotgun sequence.